rnacentral:lncRNA from 1 species
GGAGCAGCCCAAGAAAUGACCCAAAAAAAGACAAAAAAAUAACUAACUAAAUAAAUAAAGUGAUGGGCUGAUGAAUAAUUCUGUGCCUUUCCACAGGUCCUUUCCUUUGUCUGAGAUGCUCCUCCUUCUUUUUUCAGUCUCUCAUCUCCUCCUUCAAAAUCCAGCUCAAGGGGUCACCUCCUUCCAGAAGCAUUUCCUCACCUGCUUCCAGUCUGAUGGAGAAGUUCCUUCCACACCACAAAUACCUACUCACCCCAUGGACCGUGAGUGCUCGCGUAACUGUUGGCUUCCCCUACAAAGCGAUAAAGCUUCGCCUGGAGGGAAGGGACUACGUUUUCUUUCACUUUGUAUCGCUAGCAGGUGGCGCAAGGAAGAAAAUCGGGAUGCACGGACAGACAUCCUCAGACAGUCUGACGGGGAUCCCCACAUCGAGCAGCUUUCAGAACUGGACCAACCCAUCUCGUGAACCCGUGUUUAGAUAGAAGCUGGACAACAACCUACCAGGCGUGGUAAAGACCUCAGACCUCAUGAGAAGAGGUGCAGACAGUCUGCCACUUCGGACAGCGCCCCGUCCAAGUUCUCUGACAAGAUGAGCCAACAUCUCAGAAGCUACUGUGCCAGGUGGUAAGAAGACGGGGGGCUCGGAAAACCUGGGUUCCAUUGUGUGACUUUAGGGAGACAUGUCGUUUCCUCUCAGUUUUCCCAUUUAAAAAAUCAAAGGUGAAGCAUGCCUGCUGUGGCUCAGCAGUAAUGAGCCCGACUAGUAUCCGUGAAGACGUGGGUUCGAUCCCUGGCCUCACUCGAUUUGUUUCCACUGCACCAGGAUGGGAACUCCCCCCUCCCUGGGAUUUUACCUGAGCCUAAAUGACCUGGGGGAAGGGAAGUAAAGUAGCUUCCUCUAACUUGGCUAAAUACUCGAGCCAUCUUGCUCCACCUAAGGGGGAGGGGUGAGACUGAGAAACACUGGUGAAGACCACAGCCCAGGACACACGCUCGCCAAAAGACGGAGACCUAAUCCCAGGUCCCUCGCACCUUAUUCAAGGUCUGGCUACAGCAGUUCCUUUUCCCCAUGACACCAUGUCUACCUUUCAACAACAAAUGACAAGGUGCAAUAAAAGGCAAACAGCACAGUUUGAACAGACUGAGAAAGCAUCAGAACCAGAAUCACAUGUGGUCACAAUGCUGGAAUUAUCAGACCAGGCAUUUAAAAAUAUGGAUUAGCAUACUGAGGGCUUUAAUGGACCAACUAGACAACAUGCCAAAGUAGAUGGAUAAUAUUAGCAGAGAGAUGGAAGUUCUAAGAAAGAAUCCACAAGAAAUGCUCGAGGUGAAAAACAAAGUAACAGGAAUGAAGAAUGCCUCUGAUGGACACAGCUAAGAAAAAACAAACAAAACAGCAACAACAAAACCCCUCUGAACUUGAGGGUGUGGCAGUAGAAACUUCCAAAAUGGAAAAGCAAAGAAAAAAAAAAAAAAGACUAGAAAAAAAUAGAACAGAAUAUCUAAGAAUUUGGGGGCAACUAUAAAAGGUGUAACACAUGUGUAAUGGGAAGUCCAGAAGGAGAAGAGAGAAAGAAAUCAAAGCACUAUUUGAAGCAAUAAUAAUUGAAAACUUCCCCCCAAUUAAUGUCAGACACCAAACCAUAGCUCCAGAAGCUCAAAAUGCACCAAGCAGGAUAAAUGCCAAAAAAGCUACACCUAAAACAUAUCAUAUCUAAACUUCAAAAAAAAUCAAAGAUUAAAAAAAAAAUCCUGAUUGGAUUGUGAUGAUCAUUGUACAACUACAAAUGUAAUAAAUUCAUUGAGUGAUAAAAAAAGAAAAUCCUGGAGUUCCCAU